CAAAAGUAGAGAAACAGCACCUGAUGUUCUUUUGAACCAAGAUCGCUGCUUCAGUCCAAACAUAUUCUUCAGGCUGGAUGUCGGGCACCUGAAGGGUGAUCAGUAUUCUGCUGGAAUUAAAGCCUGCUGUGAUGUUAAUGAAGAACCGCCAGUGGGUUUGCUGGAAGUUCCCUUCCACAUACCAAAAAAUUAAAAGAGGAAGAAGGACGAGGAGGAGGAGGAGGACAAGAAAGGAAAGCACAGGUGACAUGACUCCUGGGUCUCUCUCACUUAACCCUCAACUUCCAAACAGGAUACUUUAAGGAAGCCAGGAGCACUUUCCAGACAGUGGCGCAUGGAGGAGGAAAUUCAAUAGAGCAUCCAUGAGGCCCGCUUGGCUGGAUGGGAAGACUGGUACAGCAACAUUCACAGUUGUAAGGUUUGUUCUUUCCCUUUAAGAGAUUCCAAAGAACUUUCUGUUUCCCAUGGUUUGAAUGUCUCCUCCAAAACACAUGUUGAAACUUGGUUGCCAUUGUGAGGUAUUAAGAGGUGGGGCCUUUGAGAGGUGAUUGGGCCAUGAGGACUCUGUCCUCAUGAAUACAUUAUGUUUUUAUCAUGGGAGUGAGUUAGAUAUUUGGGAGUUUGGCCCCCUUUUCCUCUCUUUCUUGUGCCCUCUGACCCCCUCUUGCCCUUCUGCCUUCUGCCCUUCCACUGUGAGAUGACCCUCGUCAGAUGUGGCACCAUGCUCUUGAACUUCCCACCCUCCAGCACUGUAAGAAAUAAAAAUCUUUCCCUUGUAAGUUACUGUCUUUGGUGUUCUGUUAUAGCAGCGGAAAACAGACUAAGAUGCUGUCCUUUACUUAGAAACUUUCCGUAAGUGUUACAUGCUGUGAUAGUUAAUUUUGUCCAUUUGAGUGGGCCAUGGGGUGCCUAGAUAUUUGGUCAAGUCCUUAUUCUGGGUGUAUCUGUGAGGGUGUUUCUAGAUGAGAUUAACAUACAAAUGGGUGGACUGAUGAAAGCAGAUUGUCCUCCCUAGUGUGGUACGCUCCAUCAAAUUAAUUAAAGACCUGAAUAGAACAAAAAAGCCAAGUAAGCGGAAACUUUGUCUGCCUGGCUUCUUGAGCUGAGACUUUGGUUUUCCCCUGCCUUCAGACUGGCACUUACACCAUCGGCUCUCCUGGUUCUCAGGUGUUUGGACCUGUACUGGAAUUGUACCACCUGUUCUCCUGAGUGUCCAGCUUGCCAACUGAAGAUCAUGAAAUUCUCAGUUUUCAAAAUUGCAUGAGCCAAUUU
rnacentral:lncRNA from 1 species